AGCGCUACGGCGGCCCGGCGGGGCCUCCAGCGUUCGCCUGCAGGGCGGCGUGGGGCGUGGCGGGCCUCUGGUGGCACCGCGCCCAGCACUUCGGGCUCUUGGUGGCGGCCGAGCUGCGGGACCAGAGAUCCCCCCACUCGGCACCCCUGCUCCUGCCGAGUGAACAGGACUCCUGGCUACUCUGCACUGGCUUUCUAACUUUCUGAUGGGGGUGCAGUCCUUUGCAUUCCAGGGGUCACAGCAACACCCGCAUCGCCCGUUCUCAGCCGCAGGGUCUCCGCCUGCAUCACUCGACUCUAAAAUUUCCUUCCCUAGUGCACGGAACUGCUGUCCAGGACUCUGCUCUCCGACUACCUCAGGGAGGAUUCUGUUUUGGGAAAAGUAAGCCAAAACCUAUUGAUAAGGGUUCAAAAAUGUUUCACUUUUUUCUCUCUCUGUCGGAUAAAUCGGUCAACUCUAGAUUUCAGGUCCCUUCUGAAUUGACUCAGUUAAGGUGAAUGGUUGUGAAUGAGGUCCCUUAGAGUUCUGUGUUUCUGUGCCUUUAAUACUAAGAUUUAGUCCAGGACAUGUAAACCAGUUUAGAAUGGAAAAGCUUUAAGUACAAACAGAUUAACACACGUGACCAUGUGUUUGCUUUAGUCUGAGUGUAGAACUCAAAUUUCUGCAGUAUUUAAUUUCUACAGUUUCCUUCUGAGCAGAAAAAGAAUACCAUAAAAAUAUUUGCAAACAUUAUAUAUGGUGAUCUAGGGUCACGUCUCCAAGUUCUAAGCUUCUGUGGCUCCACGCACACAGGUUCCCUAAUGUUUACUAUGCAUCUGUCACUGUUCUGUUCUAUUAGAUUGCCUUAACUAUAGGCUUGUCCUAACGUAACCAUCCAAACCUAAGGAAGGAGAAACUUAAGUGACUCUGUGAACUUAGUGAAGUGACCAGAUUUAGGAAGGCUAAAACCCAGAGGAAAUAAAAUGGAAAACUUGAAGGUGACAAAUUAAAGUGGAAAAAUAGAUUAAUUUUUUUAAACUUUAUUGUCCUGAGAAACAAAUCUAUAAAUUCAUUAAUUUUAUUUUAGAGACUAUCUCUAGAUUCCUGGAAAUGAAGGAUUCAUUAUACUCUUAGAUCAGAUAUAAUACUGAUUUCUGUGUAUACGUUAAUAAACUUUUUUAGAACAAGUUCCAUUUCUUUUAUUUUUUUCUUCCCUUCUUUCACAGGUGUUGAUCCAUUUCUAAUUCAUCUUUGUUUCUUCAUAAUGGAGUGUUGUGCCAGGGACAUUAUCCACCCCAUCUUGAAAUCCUAGAGCCAUUUCUACAAGGUUCAUUACUCCACUUCAUUAAGCAACAGGUCCUGCCAGCUAAAGUCUUAAAAAAAAAAAAUAGCAGUAGCAAGUGACAGUUUUAGCAACACUUCCUAACUCCAGUCUGUGACACGCCCAUGAACUUUCCACAUUAAGAGGAAGUGGUAGGGUGGAAAAUUCUAACCUUUUCGAAACUUUGGGACUCUAUAAAAAUUCCUGUGUGGGAGAAGAAGCUGGAGAAGAAAUCCUUGAUCUGUAACUUAAUAUAUGUGUAUAUUUUAUGUGUACAUAUUGGCCUGCCUACCUGCAUGUUAUAAAGCACGACAUCCUACAUGCCACAGAGAUGCAUCUCACAGAGGCUAAGACAAGGUACCAGUCCUCAAAAAGCUGACAGCAGAGGCAGAAGGAAGAAGCAAACACAAAAAACAGUAACUAAUUGUGAAGCAGGAUGAAAUAAGUGAUAACAAAGAGGCAAGAGUGACGUGUGGUGGGUUCUGACUGAUGGGAGGUUUUAUAUAGCAGCACCAAGUACCAUACAGAUUCCAGGUUCAAACGCACACACAACAGGAAGAUGAGAAAGCUUAAGACUCAAAAUGGAAUGGAUUAGAUAAUAUAAUAUAUACGAAAGUCCUGGCAGAUGGCUUCACUUAUUGUUGUAAGAAGGAGUUAGCAUUUGAUUUGAGCUCUGAAGGAUAAAAGAAUUUUAAGUGAGGAGAAGGGUGUUCCAGGCUGAGGAAACAAGGUAGAGACAGAGUUGACAGUUUGAGUCUCGGGAGUAAGGUGGGGAAUGAAGAGUUGAUGGGGUGCUAGCAAACAGUGCCUGGAGAGAGAAAACAGGAGUCUGAAAGCUAUGCUAGACAAAGCACCAAGAGCUUUGUGUAACAGGCUGCGGAGCUGGGAGGAAAUGAAGAAAAGAAAAAGGUGGUUAUUCAAUCUCCGCAUUCAGACACAUCACCACCACCUUCUCUCUGGUCCACCUGAACUGGUCAGAGAUAACCAAAGGAGGAUAAGGAAAUCAACGUGUUGCAACAACAAGGACAUCUUUGUAGCACUGCAGUGUCCUAAUUGUGACUAAUUGUGAAACAGUUCAUCACCUCUGCUCACCCAGACCCCUCUCCUAUCAGCACCACCACCUCUUCCACCAAUCCCCACAGUAUUAACUCCACUUCCACUCUGUCCGACAUCACCCCCCUCAACCCUUCUGCUCCGCCUCUUCAAUCUGGACCAGCAGCAGCCCCUACUGCCAGAACGACACCACAGCCACCCAGCAUGGCAGAGCAAGCUUGCACAGGGAAGGUAUGCUAGGAAAUGGCUGCACACUGUCCCACUAGGGAAUUCCAUCCUCUGCCAACUAAGGAAUUCCAUGGAAAAGAUUCACGUCAGUGGACAGAUCCAGAUGGUGCCUGGUACUCUGCAGGUCCUCAAUAACUUUCUGUUAAAUUGGGUCUUAAUUGUUUGUGAGUUAUUGAUUAUAAUAAGUCCAAUUUCUCAAUAAAUGGAGUUAGACAUCAAGGAGCAACUGUGGUAUUGUCAAAUGUGAGCCUAAAAGCUCAAUACUUUCUACCGCGGCCCUCACUACCAUUUUAGUAUUAUGUUCAAAAAUAAGCAUGAGAUUUCCCC
rnacentral:lncRNA from 1 species